GAAGGGUCAGGAUUGUUCUGACGGUACCAAAGAAUAAGCACCGGCUAACUUCGUGCCAGCAGCCGCGGUAAUACGAAGGGUGCAAGCGUUACUCGGAAUUACUGGGCGUAAAGCGUGCGUAGGUGGUGGUUUAAGUCUGUUGUGAAAGCCCUGGGCUCAACCUGGGAAUUGCAGUGGAUACUGGGUCACUAGAGUGUGGUAGAGGGUAGCGGAAUUCCCGGUGUAGCAGUGAAAUGCGUAGAGAUCGGGAGGAACAUCCGUGGCGAAGGCGGCUACCUGGACCAACACUGACACUGAGGCACGAAAGCGUGGGGAGCAAACAGGAUUAGAUACCCUGGUAGUCCACGCCCUAAACGAUGCGAACUGGAUGUUGGGUGCAAUUUGGCACGCAGUAUCGAAGCUAACGCGUUAAGUUCGCCGCCUGGGGAGUACGGUCGCAAGACUGAAACUCAAAGGAAUUGACGGGGGCCCGCACAAGCGGUGGAGUAUGUGGUUUAAUUCGAUGCAACGCGAAGAACCUUACCUGGUCUUGACAUCCACGGAACUUUCCAGAGAUGGAUUGGUGCCUUCGGGAACCGUGAAAAAAG
rnacentral:rRNA from 1 species